CCUACGGGGGGCAGCAGUGGGGAAUAUUGCGCAAUGGGCGAAAGCCUGACGCAGCAACGCCGUGUGAGGGAUGAAGGCUUUCGGGUCGUAAACCUCUGUCGGAAGGGAAGAACGGGCAUUGGUCUAAUAGGCCUUUGUUUUGACGGUACCUUUAGAGGAAGCACCGGCUAACUCCGUGCCAGCAGCCGCGGUAAUACGGAGGGUGCAAGCGUUAUUCGGAAUUACUGGGCGUAAAGCGCACGUAGGCCGCUUUGUAAGUCAGGGGUGAAAUCCCACGGCUCAACCGUGGAACUGCCUUUGAAACUGCAGAGCUUGAAUCCUGGAGAGGGUGGCGGAAUUCCUGGUGUAGGAGUGAAAUCCGUAGAUAUUAGGAGGAACACCGGUGGCGAAGGCGGCUUACUGGACUGUAACUGACGCUGAGUCACGAAAGCGUGGGUAGCAAACAGGAUUAGAUACCCUAGUAG
rnacentral:rRNA from 1 species